AGGUUCUUGGGUGUGCUGUGCCGGUCGCCGGGUGGAGCCAUGCAGAGAGACGACUCGGAGCUGCCGUCUAAGCGGCCCCGGUGCGAUGGCAGCUCGAGAACCCCACCAAACACUUCCGCAGCGGCAGACAGGUCCGCGAGCCCGGAACUCCACCCCGACCGCCGCACCUGGGGCACAGAGCAGGUGUGCUCCUUCCUAAAGCGCAGUGGCUUCAAAGAGCCCGGAGUGCUGAAAAACUUCCGAGAUGAGAAAAUCACAGGCUCAUUACUGCCCUAUCUUGAUGAGUCUCACCUUGAAAAUCUUGGAGUAAGUUCCUUGUGGGAGAGGAAGAAGCUGCUUAAUGAUAUCCAACAACUGGGUCAAACUCACAGCGAUGCACCGAAGGUAAUUAAUGAUCCUGUCCAUGGUCACAUUGAGUUCCACCCUCUCCUCAUCCAAAUCAUUGAUACACCUCAAUUUCAGCGGCUUCGGUAUAUUAAACAGCUGGGAGGCGGUUAUUAUGUUUUUCCAGGAGCUUCACACAAUCGAUUUGAGCAUAGUCUAGGGGUAGGAUAUCUAGCAGGAUGUCUAGUUCGCUCACUGUGUGAAAAACAACCAGAGUUGCAGAUAACUGAACGAGAUAUGCUCUGUGUUCAGAUUGCUGGGCUUUGUCAUGAUCUCGGUCACGGGCCAUUUUCUCAUAUGUUUGAUGGAAGAUUUAUUCCACUUGCUCGCCCAGAGAUCAAAUGGAAGCAUGAACAGGGCUCAAUUAAGAUGUUUGAGUACCUAGUUAAUUCUAAUGGACUCAGAGCUGUCAUGGAGCGCUAUGGUCUUAUCCCUGAAGAAGAUAUUUGCUUUAUCAAGGAACUAAUUGCAGGACCACUUGAUUCACACAUCAAAGAUUCUUCGUGGCCAUAUAAAGGACGUUCUACAGAGAAAAGCUUCCUUUAUGAAAUAGUGGCUAAUAAAAGAAAUGGCAUUGAUGUAGACAAAUGGGAUUAUUUUGCCAGGGACUGCCAUCAUCUUGGAAUCCAAAAUAAUUUUGAUUAUGACCGCUUUAUUAAGUUUGCCCGUGUCUGUGAAGUAGAUAAUAGAAAGUAUAUUUGUACUAGAGAAAAGGAAGUUGGAAAUGUGUAUGACAUGUUCCACACACGCAACUGUUUACACCGUAGAGCUUAUCAACACAAAGUUGGCAAUAUUGUUGAUGCAAUGAUUACAGAUGCUCUCCUCAAAGCAGACCCCUACAUAGAGAUUACAGGUGCUAAAGGAAAAAAGUAUCACAUUUCUACAGCAAUUGAUGACAUGGAAGCCUUCACUAAAUUGACAGAUAACGUUUUUCUGGAGAUUUUAUACUCUACUAAUCCAAAAUUGGAUGCAGCUCGAGAGAUUUUAAAAAAGAUUGAAUACCGUAAUCUAUACAAGUAUGUGGGUGAAGUCCAGUCAACAGGACAAACAAAGAUUGGAGAGGAUGACUAUGAAUGCCUUCCAAAAGAAGUUGCUGAUGCUAAAUCAGACACUGAACUGAAGGCAGAAGAUUUCAUAGUGGAUGUUAUCAACAUGGAUUAUGGAAUGGAGGAUAAGAAUCCAAUUGAUUAUCUUCACUUCUAUAGUAAGAAUGAACCCAGCAAAGCUAUCAGGAUUUCUAAAGAUCAGGUUUCACAGCUUCUGCCAGAGAGAUUUGCAGAGCAGGUGAUUCGAGUAUAUUGUAAGAAGACUGAUGAAAAGAGUUUCCUUGCUGCACAACAACAUUUUGUUGAUUGGUCCAUCACCAAAAACUUCAUCAAGCCACAGCUAGACUGAAACACAUGGGAAUAGGGAAGUAUGUCUGUCUUAAGUAGCACCUAAGAAAACUGAACCCCUGAAAACUCUAGCAGCAGAUAGACUGGAACCUGGAGGGGCUGGAAACAGAGACAAGAAGCCAUCCAGCUGUGUGACGAUAACUACCUUGAAUCUGGGAUGAAGUAACACCUCAAAAAUCGGAAUUUAGAUGCACCAUUUCAGCCCAAAGU